AGUCGAACGGACAAUAAGAGCUGCUCUUAUGAGUUAGUGGCGCACGGGUGAGUAAUGUAUAGCUAAUCUGCCCUACACUAGAGGACAACAGUUGGAAACGACUGCUAAUACUCUAUACUCCUCUCUAGCAUAAGUUAGAUAGGGAAAGUUUUUCGGUGUAGGAUGAGGCUAUAUUGUAUCAGCUAGUUGGUGAGGUAAUGGCUCACCAAGGCUAUGACGCACAACUGGUCUGAGAGGAUGAUCAGUCACACUGGAACUGAGACACGGUCCAGACUCCUACGGGAGGCAGCAGUAGGGAAUAUUGCUCAAUGGGGGAAACCCUGAAGCAGCAACGCCGCGUGGAGGAUGACACUUUUCGGAGCGUAAACUCCUUUUGUUAGGGAAGAACAAUGACGGUACCUAACGAAUAAGCACCGGCUAACUCCGUGCCAGCAGCCGCGGUAAUACGGAGGGUGCAAGCGUUACUCGGAAUCACUGGGCGUAAAGGACGCGUAGGCGGAUUAUCAAGUCUCUUGUGAAAUCCUAUGGCUUAACCAUAGAACUGCUUGGGAAACUGAUAAUCUAGAGUGAGGGAGAGGCAGAUGGAAUUGGUGGUGUAGGGGUAAAUCCGUAGAGAUCACCAGGAAUACCCAUUGCGAAGGCGAUCUGCUGGAACUCAACUGACGCU
rnacentral:rRNA from 1 species